rfam:Triticum aestivum genome assembly, contig: Triticum_aestivum_CS42_TGACv1_scaffold_578620_7BL
UUAGUACUCCCUUCGUUCGAAAAUACUUGUCAUCAAAAUGGAUAAAAAAGGAUGUAUCUAGAACUAAAAUACGUCUAGAUACACCUCUUUUUAUUUAUUUUGAUGACAAGUAUUUCCGGACGGAGGGAGUAGUAG